CGUGUAGAGUCGCUCAAGGCAAGAAGACCCAGCGCCAGCAAGAGUGAAACAAAAAAGCAAAAGAGGCUUCUGGCUUGAGAUGGCAAGAACCUCACAUUUCCAGGGAAGUCACGGCAAAGGACCCCUGCUUUUUCUGGCCUGGGAGUACGGCUCAUGCUUUGUGUUUCUCCACCCUCUGCCCACAUCUUGGAUCCAGAGGAGGGAGAAGUUACUCUGGCAGGGAGUUGGCAGUAAGGGUGACCAGGGACAGCUUCAUGGAAGACUGGGCACUGGAGAUGGGCCCGGAAGGCUUUUGCAGGCAGAGCUGGUGGAGCAGGUGUGUGAAGA